UGGGGAAUCUUGGGCAAUGGGCGCAAGCCUGACCCAGCCAUGCCGCGUGUGUGAAGAAGGCCUUCGGGUUGUAAAGCACUUUCAGUAGCGAAGAAAAGCCUAGGGUCAACAGCUCCGGGUCUUGACGUUAGCUACAGAAGAAGUACCGGCUAACUCCGUGCCAGCAGCCGCGGUAAUACGGAGGGUACGAACGUUAAUCGGAAUUACUGGGCGUAAAGCGCGCGUAGGCGGUUCGGUAAGUGGGAUGUGAAAGCCCCGGGCUCAACCUGGGAACUGCAUUCCAAACUGCCGGGCUAGAGUAUGGUAGAGGGAGGUAGAAUUUCCUGUGUAGCGGUGAAAUGCGUAGAUAUAGGAAGGAAUACCGAUGGCGAAGGCAGCCUCCUGGACCAAUACUGACGCUGAGGUGCGAAAGCGUGGGGAGCAAACAGGAUUAGAUACCCGGGUAGUCC
rnacentral:rRNA from 1 species